UACGUAGGUGGCAAGCGUUGUCCGGAUUUACUGGGCGUAAAGAGCGCGCAGGCGGUCGGAUAAGUCGAAUGUGAAAGCCCCUGGCUCAACCAGGGAGGGUCAUUCGAUACUGUUCGACUCGAAGGCAGGAGAGGGAAGUGGAAUUCCGGGUGUAGUGGUGAAAUGCGUAGAUAUCUGGAGGAACACCGGUGGCGAAGGCGGCAUCCUGGACCGAUACUGACGCUGAGGAGCGAAAGCCAGGGGAGCAAACGGG
rnacentral:rRNA from 1 species